CAAUCGCCGCGGUAAUACAGAGGGUGCGAGCGUUAAUCGGAUUUACUGGGCGUAAAGCGUGCGUAGGCGGCUUUUUAAGUCGGAUGUGAAAUCCCUGAGCUUAACUUAGGAAUUGCAUUCGAUACUGGGAAGCUAGAGUAUGGGAGAGGAUGGUAGAAUUCCAGGUGUAGCGGUGAAAUGCGUAGAGAUCUGGAGGAAUACCGAUGGCGAAGGCAGCCAUCUGGCCUAAUACUGACGCUGAGGUACGAAAGCAUGGGGAGCAAACAGGAUUAGAUACCCCGGUAGUCCCUGUCUCUUAUAC
rnacentral:rRNA from 1 species